GCUCUUAUGGCGCAAUUGGCUAGCGCGUCUGACUGUUAAUCAGGAGGUUGGUGGUUCGAGCCCACCUAGGAGCG
rfam:Rhizopus oryzae RA 99-880 supercont3.22 genomic scaffold, whole genome shotgun sequence.